CUUACGCGGCGGACGGGUGCGGAACACGUGGGCAACCUGCCCUGAGGUGGGGGAUAGCCGGUGGAAACACCGGGUAAUUCCGCAUAAGGUCAUCUGUCGGAGGACGGAUGAGGAAAGGGUCUUCGGACUCGCCUUGGGAGGGGCCUGCGGCCGAUUAGCUAGACGGUGGGGUAACGGCCUACCGUGGCGAUGAUCGGUAGCUGGUCUGAGAGGACGGCCAGCCACACGGGGACUGAGACACGGCCCCG
rnacentral:rRNA from 1 species